rnacentral:lncRNA from 1 species
GCUUCCUGUUGAAAAAAAAAGAAAAAAAAGUGGAUUUUCUCUAAGAAGGAUUUUUUUUGACGCGCCCCAUGAAGCUGGGUUGUUUUGAAGUCUCUUCGUGUGUUAACAUAGUCUUUAUUCCCUCUUUAAUUGCAUGUAAGCAUAAUAUGUUAAGCAAAAUAGCAAAUAUACAAACCUAAAAGUCGGUAGCCAAGAUGUCUCUGAAGGGGUUAUUUGGGGUCAUGACGUCUAAGAGGUAAGGGAUCAAUUGUGUGAUGGAUUAUGAUAUUUUAUAUUUCGUUUGACAUCUCAAUUAACUGCAUUUUUUUAUAUAUUAUUCAAUGAAAAUAUAUUACAAAGUGCAAUAAAAUUAAAAGCAAGAUUUAUGGGUUAGAUCCUGACUGGGAAUUUCAAUACAUUAGAAUGGUUUUUGUUGACCCUCCCACACACAUGCGGGUUGUUGUUGUUAGGAGGGUUCCUGAUCCCGAAAUCCCGGACUUAAAAACAUGAUAUCCCGAAAUCCCAGGCUUAAAAACAUGAAAUCCCCAAAUCCCGGGCUUGAAAACCCGAAAUCCUGAGGUAUCGAAAAAAGAAUUCCCGGAUCCUGAAAGGGUCAAUCCCAAAAUACCGAGCUUAAAAACUAGAAUGGGUACUGUAGG